rnacentral:rRNA from 1 species
UACGUAGGGGGCAAGCGUUGUCCGGAAUUAUUGGGCGUAAAGCGCGUGUAGGCGGCCAGAUAGGUCAGCUGUGAAAACUCGAGGCUCAACCUCGAGAUGUCGGCUGAAACCAUCUGGCUAGAGUCCGGAAGAGGAGAAUGGAAUUCCCGGUGUAGCGGUGAAAUGCGCAGAUAUCGGGAAGAACACCCGUGGCGAAGGCGGUUCUCUGGGACGGUACUGACGCUGAGACGCGAAAGCGUGGGGAGCGAACAGG